rnacentral:rRNA from 1 species
UACGUAGGGUGCGAGCGUUGUCCGGAAUUACUGGGCGUAAAGAGCUCGUAGGCGGCUUGUCGCGUUGUUCGUGAAAAUUUACCGCUCAACGGUGAACUUGCGGGCGAUACGGGCAGGCUAGAGUACUGCAGGGGAGACUGGAAUUCCUGGUGUAGCGGUGAAAUGCGCAGAUAUCAGGAGGAACACCGGUGGCGAAGGCGGGUCUCUGGGCAGUAACUGACGCUGAGGUGCGAAAGCGUGGGGAGCAAACAGG